CCUACGUGCGGCAGCAGUGAGGAAUAUUGGUCAAUGGCCGUAAGGCUGCACCAGCCAAGUCGCGUGAAGGAAGAAGGAUCUAUGGUUUGUAAACUUCAUUUAUAGGGGAAUAAAGGUAUCCACGUGUGGAAAUAUGCAUGUACCCUAUGAAUAAGCAUAGGCUAACGCCGUGCCAGCAGCCGCGGUAAUACGGAGGAUGCGAGCGUUAUCCGGAUUUAUUGGGUUUAAAGGGUGCGUAGGUUGUUUUUUAAGUCAGUGGUGAAAGUUUGUGGCUCAACCAUAAAAUUGCCGUUGAAACUGGAAGACUUGAGUGUGUUUGAGGUAGGCGGAAUGCGUGGUGUAGCGGU
rnacentral:rRNA from 1 species